AUGAAUCCUGAGGAGGUUGAAGCUGCAAAGAAAGCAGCACAAGAUAAGCUGGAGAAGGAGGCUCAGGGAGAAUCCACACUCGUUACGAAAGGUGAUAUGAGAAGUUUGCUGCAGGAUCUUAUGGCAAUGGGGAUAAUGGGAUCAAAAGCUCCCGUGGGAACACCCGAGUUGAAGCUAGAGCUGACGCCGAAUGAAUUGAAGUUAGACGGGAGCAAGAACUAUCUGAGCUGGUCAAGGAGGGCGAAGUUGAUCUUGAGGACAAAGGGUGUAGAGCACUGUGUGCAGGAAACAUUCAUAGAACCUGCAGAUAGAACAAGUGUUGAUUGGCGAGUGUGGAACACCACCAACUCUGUGGUUGCAGCAUGGUUGAUGAAUUCCAUCUCUCCAUCGAUUUCUAGGAUGAUAGAAGCAAUUGCAAGUGCACCGACGAUUUGGAAGACGUUGAGCAAUAUGUACUCUGGGGCUGGCAAUGUGAUGAUGAUGGUGGAGGUCCAGAGUAAGGUGGGUGAACUCAAGCAAGGGGAGAAAACUGUCCAAGAGUAA
rnacentral:rRNA from 1 species